UGGACAAACACCUCAUUCCAGCAG
rnacentral:piRNA from 1 species